GACGAACGCUGGCGGCGCGCUUAACACAUGCAAGUCGAGCGAAGCGGCGGACGGGUGAGUAACACGUGAGUAACCUGCCUUAGACAUUGGGAUAGCCUCGGGAAACCGGGAUUAAUACCCAAUGGUCUAAGAUGGCAUCGCGUCCCAUUAGCUAGUUGGUGUGGUAACGGCCUACCAAUGCGACGAUGGGUAGCCGGCCUGAGAGGGUGAACGGCCACAUUGGAUCUGAGAAACGGUCCAAACUCUACGGGAGGCAGCAGUGUGGAAUAUUGCACAAUGGAGGGAACUCUGAUGCAGCGACUCCGCGUGAACGAAGAAGGCUUUCGAUUCGUAAAUUUCUUUUAUAUGGGAAGCGGUAUCAUAAGAAAAAGCCCCGGCUAACUACUUGCCAGCAGCCGCGGUAAUA
rnacentral:rRNA from 1 species